rnacentral:ncRNA from 1 species
GUUUUCGGCAUCGUUACUUUGAAGAAAUUAGAGUGCUCAAAGCAAGCCAUCGCUCUGGAUACAUUAGCCUGGGAUAACAUCAUAGGAUUCCGGUCCUAUUGUGUUGGCCUUCGGGAUCGGAGUAAUGAUUAAUAGAGCGGGGGAUUCGUAUUUCAUAGUCAGAGG